GAUCCUGGCUCAGGAUGAACGCUAGCUACAGGCUUAACACAUGCAAGUCGAGGGGCAGCGGGAUUGAAGCUUGCUUCAAUUGCCGGCGACCGGCGCACGGGUGAGUAACACGUAUCCAACCUUCCCGUUACUCCGGAAUAGCCUUUCGAAAGAAAGAUUAAUACCGGAUAGUAUCGAGAGAUUGCAUGAUUACCCGAUUAAAGAUUCAUCGGUAACGGAUGGGGAUGCGUUCCAUUAGGCAGUUGGCGGGG
rnacentral:rRNA from 1 species